CACUUUUUAUCACCACCAGGUGCCUGGCUCCAAAUUGUAACUACCUGCCAUAGAUAUUAGAAGUUUUAUUUCUUUGGAUAAAGGUAAUCAACAAACACAAUGGCCACCUCAGUUAUCAGCUGAAUGUAAGAUGAGCUGUGUAUGAAAACGGUGCUGGUAAGCCUUGCUUGAGGACAACCUAUCGUUUAUUUUGUGAACAAGUAUGUAAUCAGUUGUGUCUGCCUGGUGAUUUCUUUCCAUCUUUGCAGUUUCCUUAUGGGUUGUCUGUGACGCUCAUCACAUUCUGACUUGGCACUUAUUCAAUCAUAAAACUGUUUUCUAUUUUUGUGACAGUUUUUCUAGGUGGGCAGGAGAUUUUGGUUUUAAUUAAGAUUUCCACAAGAGCAACCGGUUAUUAAAUAAACACAAAGAAGUAUAGUUGAAAGGUGAGUAGAACCAUGAGUGGAAUUCUAGAAUACGCAGCACACAAAAGGCAGAAAAGAGGCAAAGAAAUAUAAGGACAGACGGGACCAAGGGAAAGCAAAGACCACGAUGGAAGGUUUAAAGUCAUCCAUACAGUACCUUGGCGAUCGGAUUCUUCCUGGACAGGUCCUCUCCCUCCCGGAGAGCCACAGGGGCGGUGAUCCAGGCGCGCUUUUGUCUCACUGGGUGAACUUCUCUUAAUUUCUACUGAAACAGUAUCUGAAUGAGUCAUACCUUUGGAGAGAGAGUCACGCCCAUUUCAUGCAGAAUCAGCUACAAUAAAGGAAUAAGAGGAACUGGUGAUAUUUUUGGAAUUUACCUGCGUGGUUUUCAUUUUCCUGGGAUUGAUCUAGGACAUCUGAGUUAAGCCAUCCACUUUUCUUCACUCAACAUUCACUGGAAUCCACUUUCUGCUUACCUUACCCCAGGUCCAAGUUGAAUUGUCUGUAUUUAAGAAUGAGGAGGGUCAGCGAAACCAAGAUGUGAGGCUCUGAAGGGACUUGUUUUGUGGUAUCCCUUCAAAGGAAGACAAAAAUAACAGACAUUUGUUGUUGUUGUUCAGUUACUAAAUUGUUUCUGAUCUUUUGUGA